GGCCUGCUGGCGCAAUGGUAGCGCGUUCGACUCCAGAUCGAAAGGUUAUCCGUUCAAAUCGGGUGUGGGUCA